UGUAAAGAAGAAAACCCUAAGUACUAUGCGGUUCUAUUUUUCUCUCCUCCCUUUUCCUUUGUCCCACCCAACCUUUUCUUUUUCUCAAGAUCAGUGUCGCACAACUCAUCUCUCUGCUCUCAAUCUCUCGCUCAAUUCUUCUAUGCUCUCGCUUAAUCAUCUUUCCACUCUCACUCUUUCAGCCACUCUAAGCAGAUUGCAAAACCCACAAAUCAGCAUCAACGAGAGCACAAACCCUCUGACUUUCGUCCCCUCUACCAAACGCCAGCUUCAUCUCGACCACUUGGACCCCCAUAAACAUCUGUAUCCAUAACCAUUUCACAACCAUCUGCAAAAUCACAAAAAAGACCCGAGACCCGCUUCGAUCGACAACCUUAGCUUCACCAUCGCCCGUGGUGGAACCCAUGAAAUAUGGUGUGGGUGACCGACCCGUCUGCAAACAGAGGAGAUGAGAUGAAGGAUAUGGUGUUGGAGAAUCUUUCUUGCUUUGGUUGAGCGGCAUCUCUGGAAUCGAGUUCUUCCUAUGUUAACUACAAACUGAGAUUUUCAGUUUGUUAAUUUUCAUUUGGACAAAGCAUAUGUAGAAAAAGGUCUGUCUAUUUGACAUGAAGCCACUGAGUAAAACAGGGUUUGCCCUUUCUUUUUAUCUAUUUGAUAAUACUUUGUACUAACUCUAAGCUAUAUAAGUGACACAGAACUGCAGAUUUGCAGAGCAGCAAUAUAAAAGUUCAGAUGAUCAAUUGGAGUUUAUUUAUGCAUGUAAUAAUACUUAAAAGAAAAUAUGUAUCACUACUUGUUAUCUGAAGGCAGCUUUUGGUUUUGACAAGAAUCAAUCUCAGAGAUCCUGAUGAUGGUGGGAAUAUGUUCAAUUUUCUCCCAGAUUAAUGCGAUCACUGAGGGUCAUAAAGGCAGACAGAGGCUCAUCAAGGAGGCUUCGAAUCCGUUGACACUGAAUACAUUUUGUUUUAGAUAUAAGUUUUUGGCAUAUUCAGUUAUUGUAUAAUCUAUAUUAUAUUCUGGUUGCAACGAAUAUUUUUAAUGUGUUUUCAAUAUUAUUUGUUUUUAAUGUGUAA